AACGAUAGUGAGCAGAAAAGCCUGGGGGUUAUAAUUGAGUAUGUUGCUGGCCAUUUGAUCCUUGUUCCUCAAAAUUUUCGAAAUCUUCCGACCCAGCUCACCGCAAUGGCCUCCUCGCUCACGGCGCAGCUGUCGCAAAUAGCGGCGACCUCGACGCACCAGCUUGAUUUGAAAGCCCAAAGGGUUGCUCACUCGAAAUCUUUGCUGUUUGAACAGAGGAAUGCGGUGUCCCAGAGCUUUGACACCAUUUACCAAAUAUGUUAUGAAGGCUUUCAGGAAUUAUGCGCACUGGAUUCACGGUUUGCGAGAUUCCGGCGUACGAUAUUUAACGAACAGAGCAAGACCGAGGAUAGGCUUGAAAUGAAUGCAGAACAAAAUAAAGAACUAGAUAUUGUUUUGGAGGAAUUCCUGGCACUUGUUGGUAGCCGCCUUCUACUGCAGCCUGCUAUCAAAUCGGUUGAGUGGCUUGUUCGUCGUUUUCGAGUUCACGAGUACAAUACCGAUUUUGUCUUACUCACAUUCCUCCCAUACCACACAACCGACUUAUUCAAGGUACUGCUGUCGAUUCUGCCUGAAAACCUCCCGCCCACUUUCAAAGUUUUAAACCCCUAUAGACGGAGUUUGACCUUGCCACCUCGACAUCCAAUUGUCCAUAGCGCCUCAACGAAUAAACUCUUUUUCUCUGCUCUAAAUAAUUAUGUUUUGCAGGUCAGCAAGGCUCAGGCCCAUUAUCAAGGGCUUCUAUCUUUUUGGGCUGGCGUCACCGCAGAAGCAGUAGCUAACAUGUUGGACGCCGCGAACUCUGGAAGACGAGAGGUGGAAAAAAGGAAUAAGGAA
rnacentral:sRNA from 2 species